rnacentral:rRNA from 1 species
GGACCCGCACAAGCGGUGGAGUAUGUGGCUUAAUUCGAUGCAACGCGAAGAACCUUACCUAGGCUUGACAUGGAUCUCUAAGCACGUGAAAGCGUGUGACCCUUCGGGGAAUUUCCACAGGUGCUGCAUGGCCGUCGUCAGCUCGUGUCGUGAGAUGUUGGGUUAAGUCCCGCAACGAGCGCAACCCUUGUGAUUAGUUGCCAGCACGUAAUGGUGGGGACUCUAGUCAGACUGCCCAGAUCAACUGGGAGGAAGGUGGGGACGACGUCAGGUCAGUAUGGCCCUUACGCCUAGGGCUGCACACGUACUACAAUGCCCAGUACAAUUGGAACCAAUACCGCGAGGUGGAGGAAAACCGUAAAACUGGGCCCAGUUCGGAUUGGAGGCUGCAACUCGCCUCCAUGAAGUUGGAAUCGCUAGUAAUGGGGCAUCAUCUACGGCCCCGUGAAUACGUUCCCGGGUCUUGUACACACCGCCCGUCACAUCAUGGAAGCCGGUAGCACCCGAAGUAUCGUUUAAUCGGUCCUAAGGUGAAGCUGGUAACUGGGAUGAAGUCGUAACAAGGUAACC